rnacentral:lncRNA from 1 species
UGUGUGUGUGUGUGUGUUUAUUUUUGUGUGUAUUUUGUUUUGCAUGCAUGUAUGUGUACCACAUGCACGUCUGCAGAGACUAGAAAGGGCUGUAGUUGUGGGGACCCUAACUUAGUUUUCUUGCAAGAGCAGUUCAGUUCAGUUUACUGCUGAGUCAUCUCUCUAGCCUCCUUAUUCUGUUGUUUUGUUUUUGUUUUUGUUUUCCCCUAAAGGCUUAGGACGUUGAGCAUCUUUUACUGUGCUCACUGGACAUUUGUAUAUUUAUCUUUUCUAAGUUCAGACUCUCAGUACACACAUGGAAGCAGCAGAAGACACAGAACCAGUUUCUUCACACUCGGUUCUAUCACAGUGUCAGGAAAGAGGAGCUUGGAGCUCUGGUUGCCUUUGUACUUCUGUGAGUAGAGUCAUGCUGCACAGAUUGCAUGCCUGGCUUGUUUAGCAUAUUAAGUGUAAGCAGUUUUUCCACAUUUUUUUUUUUUUUGUUCAUCUAAAAUUAUAUCAUGCCAUUGUAUGAAUUACUCAUUCUUAGGUGGAGGAACAUUUGAAUUGGUUUUAUCUAUUAUUAAUGUUAUGGACAUUCUAAUGUUUAUUUUUUCUUGAACAUUUAUGUGCAGACCAAAUAAAGUCUUGAAAUUGGAAGUUAACUGGGAAGCCAGUUGAUACGUGGUCUGGGAACCAAACGUAGGUCUGCUGUAAGAGCAGCAAACACUCUUAGCUGCUGAGCCAUCUCCUCCGUUCAACAGUGUUAGUUCUAUUUUGUUUUGUUUUUGCUGCCUGGCUUGAUAAGGUAAGUAGCUCAGGAUGGCAUCUAGUCCGUGCAGUCCUUCCCUCAGCCUCUGGAGUGCUAGGUGACAGGUGUACAUAUGGCAGUCAGCUAUUUAUUAUUUCUGUUGUGUUUCAGUAGGUAGGUGUGACUUAGUGGAAGGAGGAGCAUGGAGUUUGUAUUCAGAUGUGUAGUUUUAACAUUUCCCCAAUUUCACUUUUCAGAUUUUGGCUUCCAGUUGUGUAAGCUGGAGUUGUAAUGUACCAUACUUUGUUUUUUUUUAAAAAAAAGUCAGUUAAUUGAUCAAAUAGUCCCUUCUUAGUAGUCUUUUUAUUCCUAACUAAUACCACACAGGUAGGGGCUGGUGAGAUGGCUCAGCGGGUAAGAGCACAGACUGCUCUUCCAAAAGGUCCUGAGUUCAAAUCCCACAUGGCGGCUCACAACCAUCCGUAAUAAGAUCUGACGCUCUUCUGGCAUGUCUAAAGACAGCUACAGAGUACUUAUGUAUAAUAAUAAAUAAAUCUUUGGGCCGGAGCAAGCAGGGGCUGAGCAUGCAGGGUUGGUCAGAGCAAGCAGAGGUCCUGAGUUCAAUUCCCACAUGAAGGCUCACAACCAUCUGUAUAGCUAUAGUUUACUCAUGUACAUAAAAUAAAUCUUUAAAAAAAUACCAUGCAGAUAAAUCUCAUUUUAAAUUAUGCUGUCCUUUCUCCACCACAGUGGUUGACUGUCUGACAGUUAUGUAAGAUUUAACCUAAAAAUGUGCUUACCCAGUCCCUUGUUGGAAUUUCUGUCAUCAUAAGGAGUUCUGUUUAGCAUCUUAAAUUCUGCAUAAUGUACUUUAAGUGAAACCUACAGAAUUGUAGUCUGCUGAGUCAGGGAAUUCCUCCUUUCAAAGGCUCUUGAUCCUUCUGUCCCAGCACCUCUGCAGAAAGCUGCUUGUAUCAGCAAGAGAUUGCCUUUCCCCCACUCUCCUGUUGCUGUUUUCCUCCCACAGUAGGAAAGGAUAUCUUGUUUUAACGCGCACUCUUUGCUUACCAGUGAGCUUUAGUAUUUUUCAUAAUUGUAUUAUCCCUCCCCUAAGUCUUCUGUGAAUUGUCUGGUUUUGUUUUCAGAGCUGGGAUUGAAACCAGGGAAUUGACUGUUUUUUACUGUACUUUGUUCAGAAAUUGAAAAUUCAGUUGUUAUUUUUCUGCUUGUUAAACUAAUGGGAAUGAGGUUUUUCGUGGAUUGUUGAAGUUGAAACCAUUCUUAUUUUUACUUUUUUAAAUUUUGAAACUAUUUUUUAAAAGACCAAAUGCACUCACACAGAUUCUUUUUUCUAUUUGGGUUUUUUGGGUUUUUUUUUUUUGUUUGUUUGUUUGUUUGUUUUUUCGAGACAGGGUUCCUCUGUAUAGCCCUGGCUGUCCUGGAACUCACCAGGUUGGCCUCAGAAAUUCGCCCACCUCUGCCUCCUGAGUGCUGGGACUAAAGGUGUGCGCCACCACGCCCAGCUCACACAGAGAUUCUUGGCCCCAGAUGUUCAGAUUUGAAUCCUUGUGUGGCUUAGUCCUUUUAAAAUCCAGACAAGCACUUCAGCCUCUAGGCUGCAGUUUCUUCAUCUGCAGAUGAGAAUAACAGUACUUAAUUCAUUUGGUUGUUGCUAGAAUUAAGUGAAACAGUAGUUGUAAAGCAACUAGCUCCGUGCUAAGUAAUCAUUCGGUUAGCUGUCUGGGAUAAGUAAUUAAUGGUGGAGGUAGAACUCGUGACUCUUUUAGUACCUUAGUUGCUGUCAUUCACGACCUUUUCACUGUAGACUUCAUGUAAUAGAGCUUAUUUUAAAUAGUCAUUUUGUUUCAAGACAAAGUAUUUAUUCCUAGCUAAUUGCAAUUAGUCUUAAAAAUGAUUUCUUGAAUACAUCUAUUUGCUUGCUUUUGAUUUUCUAAUUGUGUUUAAAAAUAGCUCAGGAUAUAAUGUGCCAUAUUUAAGAAGGGCCUCUGUAAAUCAGCUUUGGUUUUCAGGGGAGAUUAGUGACAGCUCCUGCACUUGCUUCAUACUUGGUUGUGUUAGUCCCUCCUCCUCCUCUCCCCCCACCGUUUCACUGUGCUCUGUUUUGGCUGCCAUUAUAGCAUGGGACAACCAGCCAGGGGCAGCUCACACCCGUAGAAACUGUCUUUGCACUAGCAGCCAUGAUUUUUUGUAGCUUCUCAACCAGGAGUGGGACCUUGUGAAUCCCCUCCUCCCCAUUCUUGGUGAAAUGUUGACUAGACUGAUAAUGUACGGGUUUGGUGUAGGUAACCACAGCUGCUGAGAGAGUGUAAUUGCAAAGGCUGGUUGUACCUGUUAGGCAUUUUUUAGCUGAGAAGUAAAAGAACCUAUUUCACAAUAGGAUUUCAAAGUGAGGUGGUUUUGAGUUGAGUCUGUUUUAAAAUUAGAUUAUAAUACCUUUUUUGCUUUGUUGGCAUAGUUUGUGGCACAGUACAACUAAGGGUCUGGAGGAACAGACACAACACUUUCAUAUGUGUUUUAAACUUUACUUUGGAGUAUUUUUCACAUACUAGGUUGCAGUGUUUAAGCCUACCACAAUACUCCCUCGAGGUAAUGUAUUUCAGAGAUUAACAAGUAACUUGAUUCCAUUUGUUUUCUCUCAAGCCCAGUGGGAAUCAGCUCUAUAGCCCAGCCAUAAUCCCUAUUGUGUGUAAAAUGUUUAACCCUUCACAAUCAUUAAGGACUGGUUGUUGACCAAAGUAUGCUUGUAGCUAUCUUGUAAUCAUUUAUCUUGGGCCUUAAACAACCUAAAUGAUGUGUAUUUUAAAAUCUUUGCUGUUUACUACUUGAAAAUAUUUACUGCUUGGGUGUGUGUGUGUGUGUGUGUGUGUAUGUGUGACCUUUAGCUGAAUAGAAGAGAAUCUGUUUUUUUGUUAUUUUGUAAAGUGUUCCAUUGUUUUAGAUCAACACUUGUACAAUGUAAACGUAUUAUUUGUUACUCUAAGUCACUCACAUGGCUCUUUGAUAGUGUCUAGCAUAUAUUUUCCCACCUACUUAAUUACUUCUUUUUUAAUUGCCUUUAUUUUACAGUUUAAUCUUCAUUUGAUCAUUAUUACUCAGAAAUAAUGGCAUUUCCAGUUAC